CUUUACUGUAACUUGAAAUUGAAAUUGGACUUUAUUUGCGCAGUAUAGGUGGAAGGCGUUGAAAGUAAUCUUGCGGGAUUAGUGGAGCCAUCAGUGAGGUACCACUCCUAUAAUGUUAGAUUUCUAACUUUGGAUCAUGAUCUGGUCAAAGAACAGUUUCAGGCGGGCAGUUUGACUGGGGCGGUCGCCUCCCAAAUGGUAACGGAGGCGUACAAAGGUUUCCUCUGAACGGGUAGAAAUCGUAUCUAGAGUGUAAAGGCAUAAGGAAGCUUGACUGUGAGACCUACAAGUCGAGCAGGGACGAAAGUCGGUCUUAGUGAUCUGACGGUGCUGAGUGGAAAGGCCGUCACUCAACGGAUAAAAGUUA
rnacentral:rRNA from 1 species